CUGUCUUCUUCUCCUCAACCCACGGGUACACCACGUGUGUGUUUCUUAACAACAUGAGAGAAAGAUUAAGACCCAGAUUUUGACACGGUGAAUCACCUGACUAGCGAGAUACCACCGGCGGCCUCAGAUGGCAAUGACAACGACGAACUCAUUUCAAGACGACACAGCAGGAGAUGCAAGAAACAGAAGCUCAUGUCCGUGGUUUUGCAGAAUGGGGAGAUGCAAGACAAGAAACAGAAGCUGAUGCCCGUGGUUUUGCAUAGUGGGGGAGAUGUCAAAAUCAAUCAACGGUGUAAAAAACUUUUUUUAUAUGGAUUUUGUUGUUUUACAAAAUCUAAAUAAAUCUUGCCUUAUGAAUUUUGUUUUAUACAGCAUAAGCUUGCAAGUAAUUGGUUGAAUAGCCCCACAUAGCAUUGUAUGAAUUAAAUGUACCCUUUAAUUCAUGAGUUUUUUGUUUCUUUUUAUUCCUAAUGCAGAUGUGUUAAUCUUUCAUACCUGAUCAUAUGCACGUAAUUGUAUAAUUAAUUAAUCAUUACAUUUUUCUAUGAUUUUAAAAAUUAUACUAAUAAUCUGUUGGAUUGUUGUCUUUUAGGUUGCAUGCUGGUUGUCGAUUUUUGUGAUAACAUCGCCUGUUGCUUUAAUCUGAAGGCUUGAAGGCUGCUGCUGGUGGGUUGCUGGGAUUUAUGAAUUAUGACAGCUGGACUUAUUCACGUAUUCUCACAAGCUGGUACCUCUUGACUGACCUCUGCUGGUAAAUCAUGAAAAGGUUCCCAACAGCGCCAAUGAGGUUCCAAAAACGCUGAGAACUCCAGCAGGGGAGGCAUACUGUUUUCGGUGACCUUUCGACGUCAUCAGAAACAAUGGGGAUGAGGCGCCGACGAACAAGCCAUCAAAUUUGUUUCAGCCAUCAAUGUGGACUAGAACACUGUUAAACACAAACGCAAGCUCGAUUAGGGAGAUGCUGACGCAUGUUGAAAGUCCCGGCUCUACAAAAAGAGGUAAAAAAGCAAUGUCUUAUCGCCUUGGCGGUGGUUUGUAGGCUGUGGAUAUCAAGAAAUGACCGUGUGUUCAAACAAAAAUCGACAGAGGUGAGAAGUUUGGAGGGAGGAGUGAAAGAAUUUUGAGUUUUUAGUGGCUAAUGCAAUGUUUUGUUUCACUCUUUUUUAUACUUUUCAGCUUCUUUUCGUCUUGCAGGUGCUUUUGAAUGAAUUGUUAG
rnacentral:lncRNA from 1 species